rnacentral:lncRNA from 1 species
AUUACUAUUACCUUGUAACUGCUGUGGCUUGGCUAUAAGUUAGAUGAUUUAGUGCUGAAUCCUCCCACACUCAUUUUCCAAGAUUUCUGGGUAUGUAAUUAAGUCAGCUCUGUACAUUCUGCACCUGAGAUGAGCACCUAAGUAUUUGGCACAGCAGUUCUCCUCACCACAGUACUCAUGCCUUUUGUUGGAUCUGUUUGUCACCUUCUAAAUUAGGUAGUUCUCUUUGUCUAGCAGCAGUAAAUGUCUUUGGCAGAAACAUAGGUGCUAGGCAACUGAGAGGAAUUUUUCAGACUUCAGAUCUGAAAAAGGCAGCAAGACGCCUGUCCUUUAGUGGCUGCUGAUUAGAGAUGCUGCUCUUUAAACACCACCAAGAACUGCUCAGUAAAAGAAAAUGUCAUGAUUUAGGUCCUUGCAAAAUAUUUUUGAACAGAUGUCUGAUGAAUACACCCAAGGUCAGAAAGUGUGAAUAAAAUCACAGCAUCUUUUGCUAGGUGGAGAGCAGUGAAUCUGGAGCACAAGCAGUGUAGAAUACAACUAUAUCAGAAUCACUCAGUGUGAAAACAUAAGGAUGAUUCAAUAGGUAGAAGGAGGAACCAGCCCUUAAAAGAAAGUACAAAAAGCAGUCAAAAGCCACAGAAGGGGACAAAAUUCCCAAAUGCACUUUAAGAAAGAUAUCAUUUUAAAUCUGUCUGAUUUCUGCAUUUGAGUCACACACAGGAUCUGGAUGCCCUUGAGCUAUGACGUGGAUGAUUAUUCUUCCUGCUGCUAUCAGCAUAUCCAAGGGAGGAAAAUGGGCUGAAUAAGGACAGUAGAAUCUGUGAGGACUUCUGAUUGAUCCUGCUGGACCCCAGGGAACAAGAGCUUUGACCAGAGAUCAGAAAGUUAGGAAGUGUCCUCUGCAAAGCCUGACACUAAUGCAAGACCCCAUGGUGGCCAAUCCAGGACAGACUGACCUUCCAGGAUGGAUCUUUUCCCUGACAGCUGGAGAGCUGCAGGGUAUCCUGUCACAAUAUCCAGCAGCUGGCACUCAUGGGGCGCAGUCCUGUGGGUCUCCAGGAAGACUGAAUACAGACAAGAAGAGGGAGUUGAAACUUAGUGGUAGCUAUGGCACUGCCCUUUACUGAAAGAGACUGAUGAGAUCUAGAGGAAAGGCUGUGUCUUGUACCGUGUGACAUUGAUAAAUGCCUCCAAACUGGAAGCAGGGAAUAGAACCCUCACCCUAGCUGCAUCCACAACAGAGAGGUAUCCACAAGAAGGAAGUACAAAAGCAGUGAUUAUGUAAGAACUGGUGCUGUUGGUUGUUUUAGAGCAUUCACGCUUCCAAUUAACACGUGUUCAGUAGAUCAGUGAUUGCUGGUUUUGUGUCUGUGGUCAUGGAUAAUUGCACUGUGUGAUGAACUAAAAUAUUCCCACUGAGUACAACUGUAUUGAUCCACAACCUAAUUGUAGACAUUAUGAAAAUACCUUUUAAGGAGCAUCAAUGAGCAGCCUUGUUCUGAAGGAAUUUUUAUUUGGUUUGGCAGCAUUAGAAGAGUUUAAAAAUCACUCACUGUGCUCAUCUUGUUGUUGAAAUUUGUUCACCUGAGGAAUGAUACACUGAGACUUCAUGCAUAGCUGGAGAUUAUUCACUAGAACAGUCAGCAGGGUGUAGGGAUAUACAAGUCAAAAGAUGAUUGUUUACUUGCAGAGUGGUUAUUAUUUUCCCCAAACAAUAUUCCUCUUAGUAGAGGUAUGGAACUGUCUGCUGGGGCCAGUGAUUCAAGUAGACAAAAACCUCAGUGGGACAUGGGCUUGUAGGGACAGCUGAGUUAGGAAAGGUCACUGUUUGGUCAAGAAAACCUCAUUUGAUUGCAC